GGAUCCGUGCCCGAGCACUAAAGGACUACUUUGAUAGAGUACGAAACAGGGGUUCAAGUCCCCUCGGCUCCC
rnacentral:tRNA from 1 species